rnacentral:lncRNA from 1 species
GGGUGGAUGGGAGGRGCUGGGACUUCACUAACCUGAUUAACCAGGUUAGAAACCAACCUUGCAAAAAUCGAAGCCAUCGCUGCAACCUCCCCCCACCCUCCGAGGGCAGGACUGGUCCCGGGUGGAUGUGAGAGGACGAGCUGGGUUGGAAAUCACCCCCCGACCUCGUGUCGCCCCCCUGCUCUCAUCCUGCAUCCCCGCGCGGCGCAGAGAGGAGCCCGGAGCAGCGGCGAGGUGGGAUGCGACUCUCCCUCGGCGGGCACCGUGCCUCCGGCUCCCRGGAGCGGGCUUGAAGACGUGCGUGAGUGGCAGGAACAGCGGGAACGGCGGGCGGCAGGCGGCGGCGGCGGGCGACGACAAGCACCUGCGGGUCCCCGCCAUCAUCGUCACGCCGCCCACCCCCACGGGCACGACGCUGGUGCGGGAGCCCCGGCGAGCUGGCGCCGAGCCGCCGUGCAGCGGGAGCUGAGCACCGCGCCGGGAUCAGGGACGCCGGGGGCAGGCGACCAGCCCGCCGGGACCUUUCCCACGGCCGGCGCUCCGCCAGGAUGGAGCCGGCAGCCCCGCGGUGCGAGCCGGGAUCGUCCGGGGUGAAGAGGUCCCGGGAGCACGGCGAUGCCCCGGGCGGCACGGGGAAACCGCAGCGUUUCCCAAAAGCGGAUGAGCACCUUUAAAACGGGUCGUUUCCGAGCAGGCUGGGACAUUGAGGACUGUUUUUUUCCUCCUCUUUUCUAAACACACUGCAAAGGGGUUUCCAAAGCGCGGCUCUUUGGCAGUGAAUAAAGCGCUCAGCGCCGUGCA